CCUCAUGAACCCGUUCAGGACGAUGAGAAUAAUGGAGAGAAACAUAAACCUCAGAAGGAACAAUUUGGGGUGCAAAGCUUGAAGAUGUUAAAUGUGAGGGCUGCCCUUGAG